GCAAGUCGAACGGUAACAGGAAGUGCUUGCACUUUGCUGACGAGUGGCGGACGGGUGAGUAAUACUUAGGGAUCUGCCUUGGAGUGGGGGAUAACUAUUGGAAACGAUAGCUAAUACCGCAUAACGUUUACGGACGAAAGGGGGAUCGGCUCUCGCUCAAAGAGGAACCUGAGCGAGAUUAGCUUGCUGGUGAGGUAAAGGCUCACCAAGGCGACGAUCUCUAGCUGUUCUGAGAGGAAGAUC
rnacentral:rRNA from 1 species